rnacentral:rRNA from 1 species
UACGUAGGGAGCAAGCGUUGUCCGGAAUCAUUGGGCGUAAAGCGCGCGUAGGCGGCCCCGUAAGUCCGCUGUGAAAGUCAAAGGCUCAACCUUUGAAAGCCGAUGGAUACUGCAGGGCUAGAGUCCGGAAGAGGCGAGUGGAAUUCCUGGUGUAGCGGUGGAAUGCGCAGAUAUCAGGAGGAACACCAAUAGCGAAGGCAGCUCGCUGGGACGGUACUGACGCUAAGGCGCGAAAGCGUGGGGAGCGAACAGG